AUUGAACGCUGGCGGCAUGCCUUACACAUGCAAGUCGAACGGCAGCACGGGAGCAAUCCUGGUGGCGAGUGGCGAACGGGUGAGUAAAGUAUCGGAACGUGCCCAGUCGUGGGGGAUAACGUAGCGAAAGUUACGCUAAUACCGCAUACGAUCUAUGGAUGAAAGCGGGGGAUCGCAAGACCUCGCGCGAUUGGAGCGGCCGAUAUCAGAUUAGGUAGUUGGUGGGGUAAAGGCUCACCAAGCCGACGAUCUGUAGCUGGUCUGAGAGGACGACCAGCCACAGUGGGACUGGGACACGCACCAAACUCCUACGGGAGGCAGCAGUGGGGAAUUUUGGACAAUGGGCGAAAGCCUGAUCCAGCCAUGCCGCGUGCAGGAUGAAGGCCUUCGGGUUGUAAACUGCUUUUGUACGGAACGAAAAGGUUUGGCCUAAUAAGCUGAGCUCAUGACGGUACCGUAAGAAUAAGCACCGGCUAACUACGUGCCAGCCGCCGCCGUAACAC
rnacentral:rRNA from 1 species